GACGAACGCUGGCGGCGUGCUUAACACAUGCAAGUCGAGCGGUAAGGCCCUUUCGGGGGUACGACGAGCGGCGAACGGGUGAGUAACACGUGGGUGACCUGCCCUUACGCUCUGGGAGUAAGCCUGGGAAACGUAGGGUCGUAAUACCGGAUAUGACUCCAUAACGCAUGUUGUGGGGUGGAAAGCCUUGUGCGGCUAGGGAUGGGCCCGCGGCCUAUCAGCUUGUUGGUGGGGUGAUGGCCACCAAGGC
rnacentral:rRNA from 1 species